CAGGAUUAAAUAAAAACAUAAGUUAUAAAGGGAACAGCAUUAUCAGAAAAAUGGGGAAUUCUAUGAAUAUAACAAAUACUUCAGAUACAACUAUCAGAGUUCUUGUUGCACCAGAUCCUGCAUGGAAAAUUUCUGAUACAUUUGUAGGAGCAAACUCGUUUACCGUUGGAAAAUAUGACGAAAUUCACACUUUGAAAGACCUUUGGACUGUAUGGAACACUAUAAUCGGACUUAAAGACUUUGAAAACAAAUACGACAUGGUGUCUCAAGUCAAAUCGCUUUUUGAUAAAUAUGGAAUACAGGUUGGACAAGGAAAGAUGUGUAAAAUGUAUGAUUCAGAAGUUUUAAAUGUUGUUGACAACAUCAAACCAGCAGCCUGGUCUGCAAUGAAGGACACUCUAGAAGUCGCUGUUGCAGUUUUUGUUGAUGACUGUAACGGUAAUUCAAAGAUUGUUUAUUACCAAUCAGAAAACAACUUAUCUUGGAAAGUUUACAACAAGUAUAUAACGCGAAUCAUUCAUGGUACAAUGUGGGAAGAUGGGACGAAUUAUCAUGACUUCAAAAAGAUGAUACGGAAGUAAAAGAAAUAUGUCGUGGUCACAUGAUUUAUGAUAAUAUCCUCAGUUAACUUGUUAUAAUGAGAACAAUAAAUACUUUACAUGUUAUCUAAAUAAAUGCUUUCAAGCCGA